UGGACGAACGGCUGGCGGCGUGGAUUAGGCAUGCAAGUCGGACGGUAGGGCUUUAUCGUAAGAUAGAGUUUGAGAGUGGCGAACGGGUGAGUAACACGUAGGAAUCUACCCUUAAGACGGGGACAACCCAGGGAAACUUGGGCUAAUACCGGAUGAGAGUGCGAGAGAUUGCAUUUAAAAGGAUGGCGAAAGUUGUCGCUUAGGGAUGAGCCUGCGGUCUAUUAGUUAGUUGGUGAGGUAAGAGCUCACCAAGGCGAUGAUAGAUAGGCGGCCUUAACGGGUGGUCGCCCACACUGGGAUUGAGAUACGGCCCAAACUCCUACGGGAGGCAGCAGUGAGGGAUAUUGCACAAUGGGCGAAAGCCUGAUGCAGCAACGCCGCGUGAGGGAUGACGGUCUUCGGAUUGUAAACCUCUGUCCUCAGUGAAGAAGAAAGUGACGGUAGCUGAGGAGGAAGCCACGGCUAACUACGUG
rnacentral:rRNA from 1 species